rnacentral:miRNA from 1 species
UCCAAAGGAUCUGAUGGAUCCAAAGGAUGCGAUGGAUAAAUAGUUUAUCCAUCGGAUCCUUUGGAUCCAUCGCAUCCAUUGGAUCCUUUUAAAAAAAGGAUCUAUUUAUCCAUCGCAUCCUUUGGAUCCAUCAGAUCCUUUGGAUC